UACAGAGGGUGCAAGCGUUGUUCGGAAUUAUUGGGCGUAAAGCGCGUGUAGGCGGCUUUGCAAGUGGCGGGUGAAAUCCCUCGGCUUAACCGAGGAACUGCCUGCCAGACUGUGAGGCUUGAGACCGGGAGAGGUGAGUGGAAUUCCCAGUGUAGCGGUGAAAUGCGUAGAUAUUGGGAGGAACACCAGUGGCGAAGGCGGCUCACUGGACCGGAACUGACGCUGAGGCGCGAAAGCGUGGGGAGCAAACAGG
rnacentral:rRNA from 1 species